rnacentral:lncRNA from 10 species
CACACAGGGGCCAUUGUGACAUAUAUCCAGGCCAAUUGCCUAGGUGAAGUUUGUCUCCUUUCCUGCCUAAGCCCUGCCCACGGGGAAGAUUUAGAUAUAUCACUAAAACCAGCACCCAAGUGAUGUGACUCUUCACCAGAGUCCUGCCCACAAGGAGGAUUGUGACAUUUCACUGGACCAGCACCCACUCAGGAAUCAAAUCCGAGUUCGUCUACAGCUGAUUCGGCAGGUACCAGGGCGUCCGCGAUGGUGGUAUUGCUCCAUAUGCCUGAGACCCUAACAAAAGCCUAAUUACAACUCAUAUGCCUGGAGCCAGGACAUGUGCAGGAUGGUGAUGUAACUUUCCUCUCUGGAAUGGGUCCUGCACAAAGGAAUGAUAGUAACAUAUUGCAAAGCCAGACACACAGCCAUGAUGGUCCAAGUUAUAUUGGGAUUCAGCCAAUAGAAGAUAUUUUGCCUGUCAUCCCUAAGCUUAGGACAAUAGACUCUGCCAAGAGAGGGGAUUAUUACAUAUUGCAGAGCCCAGCACCUAGGUGGAGUGACUCUCAUCUUUUUCUUCUACCCCGUAUAUAGCC